GUAUAAGCUUAUUAAUAAAUGAAUGAAUGAAUGCUUAUUAAUUUCUUCAUUUGAUUUUUCCUUAGAGAGCAAGAAAAAGGGGUUGAGAGACAAUAAUUACUUAUGGACUUGCUGUUCUUUUCCAAAAAAUGGAACCUCUGGAGGCAAUCACAACUUUAUGAAAAUUACGUGAAAACUAGAUUUAUUAUAAGAGAAAUGAACAAGCAUGUGGAACCCAAAGAGUCCAAUCCAUACAGAAGUCUGUGUAUUUAUGACAGCAAGACAAAGAGAGAAGGAGAAAAUACAAAAGUCCACUAAAGGAUGGGGAAACGUGCAGUAAAGGUGGACAAAGGACCCCUUCUAAAGGGGAGGAGCAAGGCGAGGGCAAAAGCCACAUUCUUUUCCCUUUGGAAC
ensembl:lncRNA